CCGGUCUGAACUCAGAUCAAGUAGGAAUUUAAAAGUUGAACAAACUUCUUUUUUUAACAUCUUCAUUAAAAAAGUAUCCUAAUCCAACAUCGAGGUCGCAAACUAUUUUGUCUAUAUGUUCUAUCAAAAAUUAUUACGCUGUUAUCCCUAGAGUAUUUUUAUCAAAUUAUCAUUAAUAAUGGAUCAUUUUAUUAAAUAAAAAGUUUAUAAUCUUUUUUAGUUGCCCCAACCAAAAGAUAAUAAUUUUAAUAUUAAAAUUAUUAUCUUUAAAAUUCUUAGGGUCUUCUUGUCCUUAAUUUAAAUAAUUGUUUCUUCACAAAUUAAAAUAAAUUUAAUUUUUAAGUUUAAAACAGUUUUUCCCUGAAAUUCCAUUCUCUUAGCAUUCAAUUAAAAUCUUAUUACAAUACCUUUGUAUAGUCAAAAUACCACAGCAAUUUAAAAAAUCAUUGAGCAG
rnacentral:rRNA from 1 species